rnacentral:rRNA from 1 species
UACGGAGGAUCCGAGCGUUAUCCGGAUUUAUUGGGUUUAAAGGGUGCGCAGGCGGGAGAUUAAGUCGGCGGUGAAAUUUUGCAGCUCAACUGUAAAAGUGCCUUCGAAACUGGUUUCCUUGAGUGUAGAUGAAGUAGGCGGAAUUUGUGGUGUAGCGGUGAAAUGCAUAGAUAUCACGAGGAACUCCGAUCGCGUAGGCAGCUUACUAAACCAUAACUAACGCUCAUGCACGAAGGCGUGGGGAUCAAACAGGAUUAGAUACCCCGGUAGUCCCUGA